rnacentral:sRNA from 1 species
CUCGUUCUAUGUUGCCAGCGAGUAAUGUCGGGGACUCAUAGGAGACUGCCGGGGUCAACUCGGAGGAAGGUGGGGAUGACGUCAAGUCAUCAUGCCCCUUACGUCUUGGGCUGCACACAUGCUACAAUGGCCGGUACAAAGGGCUGCGAUGCCGUGAGGUGGAGCGAAUCCCAAAAAGCCGGUCUCAGUUCGGAUCGGGGUCUGCAACUCGACCCCGUGAAGUCGGAGUCGCUAGUAAUCGCAGAUCAGCAAUGCUGCGGUGAAUACGUUCCCGGGCCUUGUACACACCGCCCGUCACGUCACGAAAGUCGGUAACACCCGAAGCCGGUGGCCUAACCCUUGGGAGGGAGCCGUCGAAGGUGGGACCGGCGAUUGGGACGAAGUCGUAACAAGGUAGCCGUACCGGAAGGUGCGGCUGGAUCACCUCCUUUCUAAGGAGCGUCUGGCAAGUGGUGUUUGCUGCUUGUCCAGAGGCCAGUGUCGGAUGUUCAGGCCGGCCUGGUGCUCGAUGGGUGGAACGCUGACUGGUUGGGUUGUCAUGGCUGUUCUGGUUGUCUAGUACGCCUCUGUUGUGUGGGGGUGGAACGGGGCUGGGGUGGUUGUGGGGGUCUACGUGGCACGCUGUUGGGUCCUGAGGGAGUGAGCUUCUCGGCGAUCGUGUGAGCCCUCCGGUGCUGGUGUGCCGGGGGGUUCGGUCGCGGAUCGGGUCAUCUGCGUCGUGGAACUGCCGGUGUGUGCCGGUGGGCCGCGGGGUGUGGGUGGGGCCGUCUGUAUCUUGAGAACUGCACAGUGGACGCGAGCAUCUUUGUGGUCAAGUUAUUAAGGGCAC